rnacentral:lncRNA from 1 species
AUGCCAAAUGCUCUUCGAGCAUUUUUCUACGCAUUUCCACCCUCGGGAGGAAAUCCUGCCUGGGGAAGAUGGGUCAGGCUCGGGACGGGAAAGCCCCCCAGCACGGGGCAGCCGAAGGAGGGAGCUGUGCCAAGGAACCCCCCAAAGCCCCUCAUGGCACGCGCCGGGGCCAGCGGAGGGGACGCGCAGCAAGGUGUGAGAGCCACACAGGAUGCGCGGGAGGUGCUGCACCUCACCCAGCAUCUGCAGGGCCAGGAGCAAAGCGAGGGGGACGCGGGGAGGGGCGAGGGUGGGACCUUUCUGCAAAGCCACCCGGCGCCGCUUCCUCUCCGGCGCUCGGUGGCUCCGGCAGCGAGCCGAAACGCCCGCGUCUCGCCCGGCCCCGGGUCACACCUGAGCUCGGGGUUUCUGUCUUACUCAGCCCCGGCUCCUCCGGCGCCCCGUGCCCGAAGCCAGGGCUGGGUUUUCUCAGUGCUCGGCGUCCCCGGGGGAUGCUUGUGGUCGGGCUCCCCUGGCGCGGCGGCCGGGGCGCUCGGUUCCUAUGCAAAUCUCGGCUUCCUCCGCUGCGAGCGCUCAGCACCGCGGUGCUGCCCGCAAGGGGGGUGCGCAGCCCGCACGGGGGGCUCGCUGCCCUCCGGCACGGGCCGCUAUAACCCCAUAGAGCCCAGCGGUGUGAAGCACGGCACCGCAACGCCGCCCCUGCUUCGGCCAGCCCGGCUGCACCAGCGGGGUCCCGCUGGGGUGUGCUGGCAAGCAGCGGCUGCCCCCCGAUCCAGGGGCCCGAUCCUGCUGCAGGAUCACUGCUGCGUGCUCCGUACGGCUGCUCCUGCUGCCCAUCCAUAUGGAUCCUGCUGCUACCCCCAUCCGUAUGGCCGUUCCCACCGCCACCGGGCUCACCCCCAUCCAGGAGCUGGGUGCGCGGAGGACACGCAGCAGUUGGGGUGCGCCCCACUCUCUCCGGUCCCCCCCCAUCGGGGUGCAGAGGGCACGGCCACCCCCAGCCCAGCCCGCGAUGGGAACCGGCUCCUCGUGCGGCUCGGCGAGGCGGAUUUGCGUCUCGUGGGAGUCAGACAAGACGCAGCCACGCACGCGGGCCGGGCGUGCACGGCUCCUUCCCGGCACCCAAAACGCUCGGGACGGGCGGCGGCUGCUGCAGCUUCUCCCACGCCGUGCAAAUUCACGGGGCGCAUCCAAGCAACGCGCGCACGCACGGCAGCGGCGCCGCACGCCGCAGCGGGCGGGCAGGGCUGCCUCGUGGCUCGCCCUCCUGCCUGCCUGCCUGUCUCCUGCCCUCGUUUUUUUUAA